UGGUGACAAAGACUGGUGGAGCUGCAUGGCCCACACAGCACCCACCAACAGAACCAAGACCCGACAAAGGACAAACAUGGCGACCAACAUUCAAUAAAUACGCGCUUCAACAUCUUUUUCUUCCAAACGAUGGCUGUCCUCCAACACCGUGUGGAAGUGUAGUGGAAACACAGCUACGUGAUGUGUGUGUGUGUGCUCCUUUGGAUCAUUAACCCCAGACCGUGUGUUCUCAUGAGUAAGCUUAUAAGCAGCGGGACGACAACCAAGCAGACUUUCCAUGACUCGCCACGAUGAGACGAGCGCUUCCUGCGGGGUCAGACGACUCGGCUUCCACUCAUGUCAGCCUGGUUCUCCUCAUGACGUCGCGGCUGGUCUCCGGCCAAACCAAAGAUUUUUCCGUGUGAGGUUUAUUGCAGCUUUGGUAGAUGUUAUCACUUUAAUGUCUCCUCACACAACAGUGGAAACUCUGUUGUUUUGAAGUGAAGAAGUGUUAAUGUGAUGGCACUGUGGCCCACAUGGACAGGAAAUGUGUUUUGAAGUGUUCGGGUUUGGCCACGAGUCAAAGGGCUGGAAGCCUCGGAUAACAUUCACACGUUAAGGUCCCCGGUACUCGAGUCUUAUCUAAUGUGUUGCAUUUAAAUCCAUAGUAUUCAAAUACUGCAUUGAAGUAAAAGUGCAAAUAUCACAAUAAAGUACUAAGUCCUACAUCGAAUAUGUUUCUCAAGCAAAGUAAGUAUAAGAAGGAAAAUGUUCCCUGUGACUGUUAUAUAAU